CCUACGGGAGGCUGCAGUGGGGAAUUUUGGACAAUGGGGGCAACCCUGAUCCAGCCAUGCCGCGUGCGGGAAGAGGGCCUUCGGGUUGUAAACCGCUUUUGUCGGGGAAGAAAACCUCUGGGCUAAUAUCUCGGGGGCUUGACGGUACCCGGAGAAUAAGCACCGGCUAACUACGUGCCAGCAGCCGCGGUAAUACGUAGGGGGCAAGCGUUAAGCGGAAUUACUGGGCGUAAAGCGGGCGCAGGCGGGUGAAAUCCCCGGGCUCAACCUGGGAACGGCAUUUGUGACUGGAAGGCUGGAGUGCGGCAGAGGGGGAUGGAAUUCCGCGUGUAGCAGUGAAAUGCGUAGAGAUGCGGAGGAACACCGAUGGCGAAGGCAAUCCCCUGGGCCUGCACUGACGCUCAUGCACGAAAGCGUGGGGAGCAAACAGGAUUAGAUACCCCAGUAGUC
rnacentral:rRNA from 1 species